GUCCGAAAAGAAACAAAAAAAUAGGCCCAAUAUCUGUUGGUAGUUGGGCAAUUCAAUUCAACCAAUCAACGUUCAAAACACGGAUCGGAAGAAAAGAAACAGAAAUUCCCUCAGUAAUCACCAAGUAUGAAUGGCACAUG
rnacentral:lncRNA from 1 species